GAUGAAGAACGUAGCGAAAUGCGAUAAGUAAUGUGAAUUGCAGAAUUCAGUGAAUCAUCGAAUCUUUGAACGCACAUUGCGCCCCUCGGUAUUCCGGGGGGCAUGCCUGUCCGAGCGUCGUUUCAACCCUCGAGCCCCCGUGGCCCGGCGUUGGGGAUCUGCCACGGCAGGCCCCUAAAACCAGUGGCGGACCCGAAGGCCCUCUCCUUUGCGCAGUAGCAUCAGCCUCGCAUUGGGAUCCCUCGGCGUCCUGCCUCUAAACCCCCCACAAGUCCGCUCCGGCGGCACCAAGGUUGACCUCGGAUCAGGUAGGAAUACCCGCUGAACUUAAGCAUAUCAAUAAGCGGAGGA
rnacentral:misc_RNA from 1 species